rnacentral:tRNA from 1 species
GGCUAUAUAGUGUAAAGGUUAUCACGCAUGACUGUCUAUCUUGAAAUCCGGGUUCGAUUCCCGGUAUAGCCG